rnacentral:rRNA from 1 species
CAGCAGCCGCGGUAAUACGAAGGGUGCAAGCGUUACUCGGAAUUACUGGGCGUAAAGCGUGCGUAGGUGGUGGUUUAAGUCCGUUGUGAAAGCCCUGGGCUCAACCUGGGAAUUGCAGUGGAUACUGGGUCACUAGAGUGUGGUAGAGGAUAGUGGAAUUUCCGGUGUAGCAGUGAAAUGCGUAGAGAUCGGAAGGAACAUCUGUGGCGAAGGCGACUAUCUGGGCCAACACUGACACUGAGGCGCGAAAGCGUGGGGAGCAAACAGGAUUAGAUACCCCGGUAGUCCUUGUCUCUUAUAC